AUGGAAAUCAAGGUUUGGUCAAAGGAUUUGGUAAAAUUGCUAUAUCUUCUGACCAUUCUAUUUCCAAUGUUUUUCUUGUAGAUUCUUUAGAUUACAAUUUGCUUUCCGUUUCUCAAUUAUGCAAAAUGGGCUACAACUGUCUUUUUACGGAUAUAGGUGUUACUGUCUUUAGAAGAAGUGAUGAUUCAGUAGCAUUUAAGGGAGUAUCAGAGGGCCAGCUAUACUUGUGACAUUGGUUCCUAAGGCUGUAGAAGGCUUUUUACUUGGUUAUGAUUCAAACACAAGGGCAUAUAGAGUCUUUAACAAGUCCUCUGGACUAGUUGAAGUUUCUUGUGACAUUGUGUUUGUAGAGCAAGUUGAUCUUGAUGAGCUAGAUGAUGAAGAGGCUCCAUGCGUCGCGCUAAGGAACAUGUCCAUUGGGGAUGUGUGUCCUAAGGAAUCCGAAGAGCCUCCAAAAGCACAAGAUCAACCAUCUUCCUCCAUGCAAGCAUCUCCACCAACUCAAGAUGAGGAUCAAGCUCAAAAUGAUGAUGAAGAUCAAGAGGAGCCCCCUCAAGAGGAGGACAAUGAUCAAGGGGAGAUGCUAAUGAUCAAGACAAGGAAGAUGAUCCAAGGCCGCCACACCCAAGAGUCCACCAAGCAAUCCAACGAGAUCACCCUGUGAACACCAUCCUCGGCGAUAUACAUAAGGGGGUAACUACUCGAUCUCGUGUUGCUCAUUUUCGUGAACAUUACUCUUUUGUUUCCUCUAUUGAGCCACACAGGGUAGAGGAAGCACUUCAAGAUUCGGAUUGGGUGAUGGCGAUGCAAGAGGAACUCAACAACUUCACGAGGAAUGAGGUAUGACAUUUAGUUCCACGUUCUAACCAAAAUGUUGUAGGAACCAAGUGGAUCUUCCGCAACAAGCAAGAUGAACAUGAUGUGGUGACAAGGAACAAAGCCCGACUUGUGGCUAAGGGAUAUUCACAAGUCGAAGGUUUGGAUUUCGGUGAAACCUAUGCACCCGUAGCUAGGCUUGAAUCAAUUCGUAUAUUACUUGCCUACGCUACUUAUCAUGGCUUUAAGCUUUAUCAAAUGGACGUGAAAAGUGCCUUCCUCAAUGGACCAAUCAAGGAAGAGGUCUAUGUUGAGCAACCUCCCGGCUUUGAAGAUAGUGAGUACCCUAACCAUGUCUAUAAACUCUCUAAGGCGCUUUAUGGGCUCAAGCAAGCCCCAAGAGCAUGGUAUGAAUGCCUAAGAGAUUUUCUUAUCGCUAAUGACUUCAAAGUCGGAAAAGCCGAUCCUACUCUCUUUACCAAAACCCUUGCAAAUGAUUUGUUUGUAUGCCAAAUUUAUGUUGAUGAUAUCAUAUUUGAGUCUACUAACGAAUCUACAUGUGAAGAGUUUAGUAGGAUCAUGACUCAAAAAUUCGAGAUGUCGAUGAUGGGGGAGUUGAAGUAUUUUCUAGGAUUUCAAGUCAAGCAACUCCAAGAGGGCACCUUCAUUAGCCAAACGAAGUAUAUUCAAGACAUUCUCACCAAGUUUGGGAUGAAGGAUGCCAAGCCCAUCAAGACACCCAUGAGAACCAAUGGGCAUCUCGACCUCGACACGGGAGGUAAAUCCGUAGAUCAAAAGGUAUACCGGUCGAUGAUAGGUUCUUUACUCUAUUUAUGUGCUUCACGACCGGAUAUAAUGCUUUCUGUAUGCAUGUGUGCAAGAUUCCAAGCCGACCCUAAGGAAGUUAACCUUAGGGCCGUGAAAGGAAUCUUGAGAUAUUUAGUUUAUACUCCUAAGUUUGGCCUUUGGUACCCAGGGGAUCCACAUUUGAUUUAAUUGGUUACUCCGAUGCUGAUUGGGCAAGGUGUAAAAUUAAUAGAAAGAGCACAUCACGGACUUGCCAGUUCUUGGGAAGAUCUCUGGUGUCUUGGGCUUCAAAGAAGCAAAAUUCUGUCGCUCUUUCUACCGCCAAAGCCGAGUAUAUUUCCGCAGGCCAUUGUUGCGCGCAAUUGCUUUGGAUGAGGCAAAACCUCAGGGACUAUGGUUACAAAUUAACCAAAGUUCCUCUUCUAUGUGAUAAUGAGAGUGCAAUCCGCAUGGCAGAUAAUCCCGUUGAGCAUAGCCGCGCUAAACACAUAGCCAUUCGGUAUCACUUUUUAAGGGAUCACCAACAAAAGGGGGAUAUCGAGAUUGCAUAUGUUAACACCAAAGAACAAUUAGCCGAUAUCUUUACCAAGCCAUUAGAUGAGCAAACAUUUACCAAACUUAGGCAUGAGCUAAAUAUUCUUGAUUCUAGGAAUUUUGAUUGAUAUUUUGCACACAUAGCUCAUUUAUAUACCUUUGAUCAUAUCUCUUUCAUGUGCUAUGACUAAUGUGGUUUCAAGUGCAUUUCAUGCUAAGUCAUAGAUUGAAAGGGAAAUAGAGUCUUCGGCGAAGACAAGGCUUCCACUCCACUCCAUCGAAUUAUUCAUCCUUCGCCGUCACUCCACUCUCCAACUUUGGUAUAAUCUUCACUCAUAUGCUAUUUACCGUACGGGGAGAAAGUAGUUAAAAGGGCUCUAAUGACUCCGUUUUUGGCGAUUCAUGCCAAAGGGGGAGAGAGUAUUAGCCCAAAGCAAAAGGACCGUACCAUCACCAAUUUCAAAAAUUUUAGUCUUUCGAUUUGUUUUUAAAGUAGUGUUUUCAAAUUGGUAUCUUAUUAUUGAUAUAAUUUCAAAUUGGUAUACCCUCUUCAAAAUUAAUAUCUAAAACCCUCUUGAACACUAAGAGGAGGAUUUCAUUAAGGGGGAGUUUUGUUUAGUCAAAGAAAAAGCAUUUGAAACAGGGGGAGAAAAUUUCAAAUCUUGAAAAUGCUUCUCAUUUACCUUUGACUAUUUUGCCAAAGACUUUGAAAAGAAUUUCCAAAACAUUUGCAAAACAAAACAUGUGGUGCAAGCGUGGUCCAAAAUUUUUAAAUUAGAAGAAAGUCAUCCAUGCAUAUCUAGUAGAAAUGAUUAUUGGUUUCAUUCCAAGCAACCUUUGCACUUACAUUAUGCAAACUAGUUCAAUUCUGCACUUCUAUAUUUGCUUUGGUUUGUGUUGGCAUCAAUCACCAAAAAGGGGGAGAUUGAAAGGGAAAUAGGCUUACACCUUUUCCUAAUUAAUUUUGGUGGUUGAAUUGCCCAACACAAAUAAUUGGACUAACUAGUUUGCUCUAGAUUAUAAGUUUCACAGGUGCCAAAGGUUCACAACAAACCAAUAAAAAGACCAAGAAAGGGUUCAAACAAAGAGAGCAAAAGACAACCGAAGUGUGCCCUGGUCUGGCGCACCGGACUGUCCGGUGUGCCACCGGACUGUCUGGUGCACCAGGGAACUCAACUCCAAACUGCUCACCUUCGGGAAUUCUGGGAGCCGCUCCGCUAUAAUUCACCGGACUGUCCGGUGUAGCACCGGACUGUCCGGUGCGCCAGUGGAGUAACGGCUACUACAGCGCCAACAGUCGCCUGCAACAGCAUUAAAUGCGCUACUGUGCGCGCAGAAGUCAGGCACGCGCCAGAAGGCACACCGAACAGUCUACAGGACCUGUCCGGUGCACCACCGGACUGUCCGGUGGCCCAGAAGAUAGAAGCUCCAACGGUCGAACCCUAACGGUCGGGUGACGUGGCUGGCGCACCGGACAGUGUCCGGUGGCGCACUGGACUGUCCGGUGCGCCAUGCGACAGCAGCCUCCACCAAACGGCUAGUUUGGUGGUUGGGGCUAUAAAUACCCCCAACCACCCACCAUUCAUUGCAUCUAAGUUUUCAGCCUUCAUACACCUUACAAGAGCUAUAGCAUUCAAUACAAGACACAACCAAAGAGAUCAAAUCCUCUCCCAAGUCCAAAGAUCAUUCCAAUCAAAUAGUGACUCGUGAGAGAGAGACUUAUGUUCAUUUGAGCUCUUGCGCUUGGAUUGCUUUUCUUCUUCCUUCUUUCUUGUGUUCAACUCAAUUGUAACCAAGGCAAGAGACACCAAUUGUGUGGUGGUCCUUGUGGGAACUUAGUGUCCCGUUUGAUUGAGAAGAAAAGCUCACUCGGUCUAGGUGACCGUUUGAGAGAGGGAAAGGGUUGAAAGAGACCCGGUCUUUGUGACCACCUCAACGGGGAGUAGGUUUGCAAGAACCGAACCUCGGUAAAACAAAUCAUCGUGUCAUCCGCCUUAUUUGCUUGUGAUUCAUUUUCGCCCUCUCUUUCGGACUCGUUUAUAAUUCUAACGCUAACCCCGGCUUGUAGUUGUGCUUAAAGUUUGUAAAUUUCAGAUUCGCCCUAUUCACCCCCCUCUAGGCGACUUUCACUUAACAUGGUUUAAAAUGUUAAGAAGUGUGACAUAUAGCUUUUUAAUCUUUUCAAGUGGUAUCUAGUACUUACAAGUGGUAUCAUUUGAUUUACAUAAUAUGUGCUAAAUUCCAAAUUAUAGAUAACUUACUCCUAAUAUCACCUACAAGUAAUGCUUGCACUCGUGUGGCAUUUCCUUGUCAAGUGGUUUUUUGGCCUUAAUAGUCUAAGUGCAUUUAUCCUACAAAUAUUCAAACUUGUGUGCAAACUUUUAAGGCUGGUCACCCUAUACAUUGAUAUCUCUGAGACUAACAUCUUUUUCAAGUCUAUCAUGUAUGUAGGAGAUUCACUAAAAGAAAAAAAGUUCGUAGAGUAAAGCAAUAUACUUCAACUAACAAGUGUUAUCAUGCACAAAUGGUAUCAUGAACUUCUACAUGUGGUGUCUCUAAACCAAUGUCAUUGUGUAGUCCUUCAUUCGGUAUCAGGAUCUUCAUGUGGGAAUUGCUACGCAUAAGGUUUACUAUUCAUAAUGUGUAUGCAUACAUAUAGUGGGAACUUAGUCUAUAUAAUGUGAGAGUCGAUUUUAUGAUCAGUCUCCUAUAAAAUAGGAGAACCUUCAAAUCAAAAGGGGAGAAGUUUUUAGGUUCACAAAAUUAUUUGCUUGCUUUGAUUGUGUUGUCAUUCACUAAAAAGGAGAUAUUAUAGGAAAAAUAGACUCGGGCCAUUGAUAGUCGAGUUUUGAUGUUUGAUGAUCAAUGUGACCAUUUGAGCUAACAUUAUUUCCUAAUGUUUUAGAUAUAGUUCAAAGGAUGCUCGGGUGUGAACUUAGAUGAAGGCAAAGAGGUGAUCUAGAAGAUCAACGGCUCAAGAAAGACACUAGAAGACUUAUUAAAAAUCUAAACAAUUAUGCAAGGGUACAAGAUAAGACGAAGACAUAUGGAGACAGAAAAAAACAACUUAACAGCACCAGAUAUGUCUAAAGAGGCACAGGAUAAUUAAACUAAAGAUACGAGUGUUACUGUACUGAAAAGUGUGAAUGAAAUAGAAUACUUUAGACAUGCAGGUGUGCAUUAGAUACAACACCCAUACAAGAAUAUGAUGUGUUUGGAAAAAUCCACAAGACACCAGAUGUAUCUAGUGUGCCAACGGAUACCCCACCAGACGAGUAGUUG
rnacentral:lncRNA from 1 species